rnacentral:rRNA from 1 species
GACGAACGCUGGCGGCGUGCUUAACACAUGCAAGUCGAACGGAAAGGCCCUGCUUGCAGGGUACUCGAGUGGCGAACGGGUGAGUAACACGUGGGUGAUCUGCCCUGCACUUCGGGAUAAGCCUGGGAAACUGGGUCUAAUACCGGAUAGGAGCCAUUUUUAGUGUGAUGGUUGGAAAGUUUUUUCGGUGUAGGAUGAGCUCGCGGCCUAUCAGCUUGUUGGUGGGGUAAUGGCCUACCAAGGCGGCGACGGGUAGCCGGCCUGAGAGGGUGGACGGCCACAUUGGGACUGAGAUACGGCCCAGACUCCUACGGGAGGCAGCAGUGGGGAAUAUUGCACAAUGGGCGCAAGCCUGAUGCAGCGACGCCGCGUGGGGGAUGACGGCCUUAGGGUUGUAAACUCCUUUCGCUAGGGACGAAGCUUUUUGUGACGGUACCUAGAUAAGAAGCACCGGCUAACUACGUG